ensembl:lincRNA Gm44442 predicted gene, 44442
ACACAAUUCUAAUGGGUUGGGGAAUCAAGUGCUACCUGGCUGGAUCUCUCAGGAGCAUGGAUUCUCUCAGGAGGUUAUAGGCAAACUAUCAGCCAUCUUGUCCACGGUCAUAAGGAGCCAUGGUCUUCAUACCCUGCACCAGCCAGCACCAGUUGACAGUGAGUUAUGCUGAGCAGCCACUACUGUGGAUAGAUAAGUGAGCUGUCCAGCUACCCCAGCAAGCUCUCAAACAGUCUCGCUGUGAAGAAGACAGACCCAGGUCUCUGGGUGGGAGGCUGCCAACUUUUUGGAAAAGGCCUUUGCUGCAACUACUGUGUGGGCCUCCGCAAAGGCGAGGAUGACGGGAACAGCAAGCUUUCAUGGGAGACAUCACCAACAGUAACAGUUUUAAACAUU